rnacentral:rRNA from 1 species
UACGAAGGGGGCUAGCGUUGUUCGGAAUUACUGGGCGUAAAGCGCGCGCAGGCGGCUAUCCAAGUCAGUGGUGAAAGCCCGGAGCUCAACUCCGGAACUGCCAUUGAAACUGUUUAGCUUGAGGAUGAGAGAGGUGAGUGGAAUUCCCAGUGUAGAGGUGAAAUUCGUAGAUAUUGGGAGGAACACCAGUGGCGAGGGCGGCUCACUGGACCGGUACUGACGCUGAUGCGCGAAAGCGUGGGGAGCAAACGGG